rnacentral:rRNA from 1 species
GGUCCCGCCUGCCCUGUGACUUAAAGUUUAACGGCCGCGGUAUUUUGACCGUGCAAAGGUAGCGCAAUCACUUGUCUUUUAAAUGAAGACCUGUAUGAAUGGCAUCACGAGGGCUUAGCUGUCUCCUUUUUCAAGUCAAUGAAAUUGAUCUCCCCGUGCAGAAGCGGGGAUAAUAAUAUAAGACGAGAAGACCCUAUGGAGCUUUAGACCUAAUGCAGUCCACGAAUGAUACUUUUGAUGAAGAAAGAAAAGCUCAAUGGCUCCUGCACGCCUGUCUUUGGUUGGGGCGACCGCGGGGAAAAAUAAAACCCCCAUGAGGAUUGAGAGUUCUACUCCUAAAACCAAGAGCCACAGCUCUAAGUAACAGAAAUUCUGACCUAAAUGAUCCGGGAAACCGAUCAACGAACCGAGUUACCCUAGGGAUAACAGCGCAAUCCCCUUCCAGAGCCCAUAUCGACAAGGGGGUUUACGACCUCGAUGUUGGAUCAGGACAUCCUAAUGGUGCAGCCGCUAUUAAGGGUUCGUUUGUUCAACGAUUAAAGUCC